UGGAUGUGAGCUUCUAUUUGGUGUUGGUGCAGCUUGGGCCGUGGAGUGGAUUUCCUUUCUUGACCGUGUAACCCAAGUGAUUUCUUCAAGCACACACCAUUGCUAACGUGGUGCUGGCCGAUCCAAGCUUCUGGAUGCUCCUUUCUAUUUGCAUGGACCGUGGGCUUCAUGAUUGAAGAAGCAUGUUGCUGAAACCCAAAGGUGU
rnacentral:lncRNA from 1 species